rnacentral:rRNA from 1 species
AUUGAACGCUGGCGGCAGGCCUAACACAUGCAAGUCGAACGCGUGGCGGACGGGUGAGUAAUGUCUGGGAAACUGCCCGAUGGAGGGGGAUAACUACUGGAAACGGUAGCUAAUACCGCAUACCAUCGGAUGUGCCCAGAUGGGAUUAGCUAGUAGGUGGGGUAACGGCUCACCUAGGCGACGAUCCCUAGCUGGUCUGAGAGGAUGACGAGCCAGACUGGAACUGAGACACGGUCAAGACUCCUACGGGAGGCAGCAGUGGGGAAGAUGGCACAAUGGGGGCAAGCCUGAUGCAGCCAUGCCGCGUGUAUGAAGAAGGCCUUCGGGUUGUAAAGUACUGGCAGCGAGGAGGCGGUACUCGCAGAAGAAGCACCGGCGAACUCCGUGCCAGCCGCCGCGGUAAUUC